rnacentral:rRNA from 1 species
AGGACAAACGCUGGCGGCGUACCUAAGACAUGCAAGUCGAACGGUGUAUUCCGCUUCGGCGGGAGGCAUAGUGGCGGAUGGGUGAGUAACGCGUAGGAACCUGUCGCACAGUGGGGGAUACCGCUGGGAAACCGGCGCUAAUACCGCAUGAGGUUGGGCGAGUAAAUCGUUGAACGAAAGCAGCAAUGCGCUGAGUGAGGGGCCUGCGUCCGAUUAGCUAGUUGGUGGGGUAAAGGCCUACCAAGGCGACGAUCGGUAGCUGGUCUGAGAGGACGGUCAGCCACACUGGGACUGAGACACGGCCCAGACUCCUACGGGAGGCAGCAGUUAGGAAAUUUUUUGCAAUGGGGGAAACCCUGACAGAGUAACGCCGCGUGGAGGAUGACGGCCUUCGGUUGUAAACUCCUUUCUGUGGAGAGCAAGAGACGGUACCGCAGGAAGAAGCCUCGGCUAACUACGUGCCAGCAGCCGC